UACGAAGGGUGCAAGCGUUACUCGGAAUCACUAGGCGUAAAGCGCAGGUAGGCGGUUUGGUAAGUCUUUUGUGAAAGCUCCCGGCUCAACUGGGAGAGGUCAAAGGAAACUACUAGGCUAGAGUGUGGUAGGGGAUACUGGAAUUCCUGGUGUAGCGGUGAAAUGCGUAGAUAUCAGGAGGAAUACCUAUGGCGAAAGCAGGUAUCUGGGCCAUCACUGACGCUGAGCUGCGAAAGCUAGGGGAGCAAACAGG
rnacentral:rRNA from 1 species